GGCCGAACACAUGCAAGUCGAGCGGAUGACGGGAGCUUGCUCCUUGAUUCAGCGGCGGACGGGUGAGUAAUGCCUAGGAAUCUGCCUGGUAGUGGGGGACAACGUUUCGAAAGGAACGCUAAUACCGCAUACGUCCUACGGGAGAAAGCAGGGGACCUUUGGGCCUUGCGCUAUCAGAUGAGCCUAGGUCGGAUUAGCUAGUUGGUGGGGUAAUGGCUCACCAAGGCGACGAUCCGUAACUGGUCUGAGAGGAUGAUCAGUCACACUGGAACUGAGACACGGUCCAGACUCCUACGGGAGGCAGCAGUGGGGAAUAUUGGACAAUGGGCGAAAGCCUGAUCCAGCCAUGCCGCGUGUGUGAAGAAUCGUCUUCGGAUUGUAAAGCACUUUAAGUUGGGAGGAAGGGCAGUAAGUUAAUACCUUGCUGUCUUGACGUUACCGACAGAAUAAGCACCGGCUAACUCUGUGCCAGCAGG
rnacentral:rRNA from 1 species